ACAAGCGGUGGAUGAUGUGGUUAAUUCGAUGACAACGACGAAAACCUUACCACCUUUGACAUGUACGGAAUCCUUUAGAGAUAGAGGAGUGCUCGAAAGAGAGCCGUAACACAGGUGCUGCAUGGCUGUCGUCAGCUCGUGUCGUGAGAUGUUGGGUUAAGUCCCGCAACGAGCGCAACCCUUGUCAUUAGUUGCUACAUUCAGUUGGGCACUCUAAUGAGACUGCCGGUGACAAACCGGAGGAAGGUGGGGAUGACGUCAAGUCCUCAUGGCCCUUAUAGGUGGGGCUACACACGUCAUACAAUGGAUGGUACAAAGGGUCGCCAACCCGCGAGGGGGAGCCAAUCCCAUAAAGCCAUUCGUAGUCCGGAUCGCAGUCUGCAACUCGACUGCGUGAAGUCGGAAUCGCUAGUAAUCGUGGAUCAGCAUGUCACGGUGAAUACGUUCCCGGGUCUU
rnacentral:rRNA from 1 species